rnacentral:rRNA from 1 species
UGGGGAAUAUUGCACAAUGGGGGGAACCCUGAUGCAGCCAUGCCGCGUGUAUGAAGAAGGCCUUAGGGUUGUAAAGUACUUUCGGUGGUGAGGAAGGUGGUUAGUCGAAUAGGCUAAUUAAUUGACGUUAACUACAGAAGAAGCACCGGCUAACUCCGUGCCAGCAGCCGCGGUAAUACGGAGGGUGCGAGCGUUAAUCGGAAUGACUGGGCGUAAAGGGCAUGUAGGCGGAUGAUUAAGUUAGGUGUGAAAGCCCCGGGCUCAACCUGGGAAUUGCACUUAAAACUGGUCGUCUGGAGUAUUGUAGAGGAAGGUAGAAUUCCAUGUGUAGCGGUGAAAUGCGUAGAGAUGUGGAGGAAUACCGGUGGCGAAGGCGGCCUUCUGGACAGAUACUGACGCUGAGAUGCGAAAGCGUGGGGAGCAAACA